AUUUUUAUUUAAUUAAAAAGACUCGGCAAAGACUCGAAAAAUCAUUGGCAAGCUCGUAGGAUUCACCAAAUUUUCAAUGUUGAAAAAAUUCCAAAUUGGUGCCAUUACAAAGCUCUCGACGUAUAGGAAGUGCUGGUGGUCUCAGUCUCAGAUUUUUGAUAGGAUUUAUGAUUUGGGAGAAAUCUAACCCAUAAGUAAAAAAAGGCUAAAACUUCAUGGUCUCGAUUCACACAAACCUCUUGAUGAAAAUUAAUGAAAUUGAUGUCUAUGAAAAGCUAGUGAGGUGAAAAAUAAAAAGGGAACAUGACCCGGUCCAAUUGGUGGCCGG
rnacentral:misc_RNA from 1 species